rnacentral:rRNA from 1 species
CAGCAGCCGCGGUAAUACGGAGGGUGCAAGCGUUAUCCGGAUUUAUUGGGUUUAAAGGGUCCGUAGGCGGGCUUAUAAGUCAGUGGUGAAAGCCGGCAGCUUAACUGUCGAACUGCCAUUGAUACUGUAAGUCUUGAGUAUAUUUGAGGUAGCUGGAAUAAGUAGUGUAGCGGUGAAAUGCAUAGAUAUUACUUAGAACACCAAUUGCGAAGGCAGGUUACCAAGUUAUAACUGACGCUGAUGGACGAAAGCGUGGGGAGCGAACAGGAUUAGAUACCCUGGUAGUCCACGCUGUAAACGAUGCUAACUCGUUUUUGGGGCAUUAAGCUUCAGAGACCAAGCGAAAGUGAUAAGUUAGCCACCUGGGGAGUACGUUCGCAAGAAUGAAACUCAAAGGAAUUGACGGGGGCCCGCACAAGCGGUGGAUUAUGUGGUUUAAUUCGAUGAUACGCGAGGAACCUUACCAAGACUUAAAUGGGAAUUGACAGACGCAGAAAUGUGUUUUUCUUCGGACAAUUUUCAAGGUGCUGCAUGGUUGUCGUCAGCUCGUGCCGUGAGGUGUUAGGUUAAGUCCUGCAACGAGCGCAACCCCUGCCAAUAGUUGCCAUCAUUCAGUUGGGGACUCUAUUGGGACUGCCUACGCAAGUAGCGAGGAAGGUGGGGAUGACGUCAAAUCAUCACGGCCCUUACGUCUUGGGCCACACACGUAAUACAAUGGCCGGUACAGAGGGCAGCUACACUGCGAAGUGAUGCGAAUCUCGAAAGCCGGUCUCAGUUCGGAUUGGAGUCUGCAACUCGACUCUAUGAAGCUGGAAUCGCUAGUAAUCGCGCAUCAGCCAUGGCGCGGUGAAUACGUUCCCGGGCCUUGUACACACCGCCCGUCAAGCCAUGGAAGUUUGGGGUACCUGAAGUCGGUGACCGUAAAAGGAGCUGCCUAGGGUAAAACAAGUAACUAGGGCUAAGUCGUAACAAGGUAGCCGU